GACGAACGCUGGCGGCGUGGAUUAGGCAUGCAAGUCGAGCGAGAACCGUAGCAAUACGGGGACAGCGGCGAAAGGGACAGUAAUGUGUAGGUACCUACCCCGAGGUCUGGGAUAGCUGCGGGAAACUGCAGGUAAUACCGGAUAAUGUCUUCGGACCAAAGGUGUGAUUCCACCUUGGGAGGGGCCUGCAUCCUAUUAGCUUGUUGGCGGGGUAAUGGCCCACCAAGGCGACGAUGGGUAGCGGGUGUGAGAGCACGACCCGCGUCAUUGGGACUGAGAUACUGCCCAGACACCUACGGGUGGCUGCAGUCGAGGAUCUUCGGCAAUGGGCGAAAGCCUGACCGAGCGACGCCGCGUGCGGGAUGAAGGCCUUCGGGUUGUAAACCGCUGUCGUAGAGGAGGAAAUGCAGGGGGGUUCUCCCUCCUGUUUGACCUAUUCUAGGAGGAAGGACGGGCUAAGUUCGUGCCAGCAGCCGCCGUAA
rnacentral:rRNA from 1 species